rnacentral:rRNA from 1 species
UCGGGAAUUUUGGGCAAUGGGCGAAAGCCUGACCCAGCAACGCCGCGUGAAGGAUGAAGUAUUUCGGUAUGUAAACUUCGUAAGAAUAGGAAGAAUAAAUGACGGUACUAUUUGUAAGGUCCGGCUAACUACGUGCCAGCAGCCGCGGUAAUACGUAGGGACCAAGCGUUGUUCGGAUUUACUGGGCGUAAAGGGCGCGUAGGCGGUGUGUCAAGUCAGUUGUGAAAGUCUCCGAGCUUAACUCGGAACGGUCAACUGAUACUGUCACACUAGAGUACAGAAGGGGCAAUCGGAAUUCUUGGUGUAGCGGUGAAAUGCGUAGAUAUCAAGAGGAACACCUGAGGCGAAGGCGGGUUGCUGGGCUGAUACUGACGCUGAGGCGCGAAAGCUAGGGUAGCAAACGGGAUUAGAUACCCAAGUAGUCCCUGAGCGGGCUGGCAAGGCGCAU